GUAGCCGCUAGAAACUCUUUUUUAGUAUGCAGAAUAAAAUAACCCAUUCCCUUGCGAUUGAUGCCAACGUUUGGUGUUUCGGCUUUGAUUGCAAACCGUAACCGCCAAAAAUCCAAGUACAGUAAAUUAUUUGCCUUCUUUAUUAACGCCUAAUUUCUCUUUUGCAGUGUGUCCCAUGAGAAAACGAACUUCCAGGAUCAAGACUGGUGGUUAUACGGGACUGGACGCCAGUUUGCUACGCGCGGCUUCCCACCUUCCUUCCUUGUCUGGGACAGUAUUUCUCCUACUUUCCUACUUAAAGUAAUCUCCAAUCGCAAUGACUCUUAGGAUUUUUUUGUUUUUUGUUUUGAGACAUUGAAAGCCAUAAAAUUUUAAAACUAUGGAAAGAAGAGUAUGGCUCACGACCUGUUUGAUAAAAAGUCUUAGUGACCACUCCUGUUUCUUGCAUCAUCUUUCCAAAUCUCAUCCUUUCUGACGCGUGUCUCUAGCAAUAACCUUCAUACCAAGAUUAUACGCAAUUGCAGCAGUAUCCUUGGUAGUUCGACGUUGUCCUUGGAGUUGGCAGUAACAAAAGUUUGUAUAUCUAGAUGACAAUUUUCGAUCCACCGUGAAUCCUCUGCUUUGAUUUCUCGUGCAAGGAUCUGCCCUUGGUAGCUUAAUCUUGCUUUGCCACUUCACUUGGACUGGAACGACAACACCACGUCAACCAAUUUGUACAUGUCAGUUGUCCUUGCUUGAGAUUGGGUUGGUUGAUCAUUCUGUUUGUUUUCGAACUUGAGAAAUCUCCAAUGGGUGGCACACGUUAUAAAAGCCCAUUAGCCUCCGCUUCUCAUCCACUCACGUCCAUAUCAACUUGUGGAAAGUAUAGCUGUCAACACUAGAAAUGCGACAACUUGUGAAACUCUCAAAGUUCUAGUCCGUGUCAAAUAUGUAUUUCCUUUCUUUUACGGUGGUUAAUCUCAUUCUAAAUGAGCGUCUUCGCCACCUCCUUUCACUGCCCACAACGGAAGUUUGCUACCACCUCAGGUACAUUCUUUCCGUUUUCAGAAAUGAUCAUCACUAGUACAUCGAAUCUGCAAGUUUUUGCAGAUGUCUAUCGCCCCUAUUCUUACAAAUGCUACUGCUUCUACCCAUUUAGUGAAGUAGUAAGUUGCAGCUAACAAAUACUUGACGCCCCCCAGUGCAGCUGGAAACGAACCUACAAUAUCCAAUCCUCACUUGUUGAACGUCCACGGUCUCACAACCAGAUGCAACUCAUUCGCUGGUCUCUUUAUAAGAGGGCCAUGCAGCUGAAAAGCCAAGCAUUUUCUUAUAUAGUCCUUGCGUCACUCUGCAUAUAAGGCCAGAAGUGCUAUUGAGAUAAAAGCCUAUGCGCUAGACUCCUGCCUUCAAAAUGAUCCUCACAGCACCCUUCAUGUGCCUCAGCGAAGAAUUGCUUCCCUCCCUCUCUAGUAACACAAGGAAGAUGAAUUUGUGGACGUGUUACCGCCUCCAUCCUCAACAAAGCUACUACCUGAAGCCAUUUGGUGAUGCAGUCAAUUGCAUCUAGCAAGUAGUGCACGCCCCCAGGUGCAGUGCAGUCUUUAGUCCAGAGACUAUUGCUUCAUACUCCGAUUGAUUAUUUAAAGCUGCAAAUCUUAGUUGGACAGCUUUUUCUCCUGGGAAACUAGUACACAACCAACGCUUGUACCAUCCGUGUUUGCUGAUCCGUUGCUCCCGUAUCUUGUUAGGCACAUUGACUGCCCAUAUGUUCCCGUACUUGCCUAGAAUUUGCCGACUCAACGCUUUUGUGUCUGCGAAUUACGACAAUCUCUGGUGUACAGGUGAAGAUUUACCUUCCCAGGCGUUCGUUCCUAAGUGGCUAUGUUCUUCUCUCUGAACGGUCUUUCUCAUGCCUGGAUAUUUUUGAGUGGUCCCUGAUGACGUGAUUGUCCCUAUGUCUGCGCCUUUCGUGUUCGGCCCAGAUCGCCUAUCUUGGUCAAUUGUGUAAUAAUGACCAUCAUAAGGUAUAUAACGAUCAUAAUAAUCGUUGUUAUGAGGAUCAAAACUGUGUUGUCGAUCAAUUCUGACACUUUCGAUUAUUCUUUACGGCAUGCGGUGUCACACUCUUGGCGUGUACGACGGUUUGACAUGCUGCUUUCGGAGCAUGAGACGGCUACUUCUUCAAGUUCUUAUUUUUUUUAUUGUGUUUCUGAGUUGCUUGUUUUUCUUUUCCAACUCUUGGUAACGUUCACGUAGUGCCAAAUCGAUAAGCAUCACUUGUGGAUUAUUAACUUGUACUAUAUGUGGAGAUGACGCACACCUCUACUAGCAAUAGUUUCAAUAUGAAUACCCUGAGUGCUUGGGUGCUGAUUUCCAACUUUUUCCCUGACGAUUGAGGUUUCUCUACUGGUACGAGGAGGUGUUUUACGUACCAAAGUAUUGUUUCCCGUGAAAUUUGGACAUGUUCUAACAGAAUGAGCAACUGAUGUUGUUGAUGAAAGUGAUGUCUCCACUCCAUUCUUGUAAGUCUGGACGACAUCGCUUCGUAUUGUUCGAUUGAUGACGCCUUGAGAAGGACGAUUUCGGCUUUUCGUAACACCAAUAUUACAACAAAAAACAAGUGUGAUAACUGUUGUUGUUUCUGGAAACUGUUGUUGUUUCUGAGAAGAUCUGCAACGCUUGAUUGGCUGUCGCUGGUUCUGAAAACAAUUGUUGUUUCUGAGAAGAUCUGCAACACUUGACUGGCUGUUGCUGUUUCUGGAACUGUUGCAGAAACUUCUCUUCUAAAAAAAACUUGGGAAAACAACUUUUUUCUCAAGGGGAGCACGAUCUUUUUGCUCGUAGUCCCCUUAGUCGGCGCCAAAAGAUGUUGGUGCAAAAAUAUUCACCUAACACUCUUCGAGAUAUGUGUAGAUGGAUUAAAUCUCCGUCGUUGAUUUGAUUCCACCAAAGAUGCUGAAGAAAUUGUGAUUGAUGUAGAUUGAUCGAUCUCCAGCUACUGACUCAAAUCCAUAAAAGAUUGCUGAUGUGAAUGAUGUUGAAUGGUGGGAGUACCUGCAAAAAACACUCCGAUGCUAAAGUCAGAGAGAGUUUCUUCACAGGUAUAUUGUGUGGAAAGGAUUAGAAAAUUUGUACCUUUUGAGUUAGGAUUUAGCCUCUAUUUAUAGGCAGAAAGUAGGUCUAGCUUUAGGGUUUUCAUAGUUAUCUUAAUAACUUCUCUUACCUGUACAAAUCCAAGAAAACAACCAGAUCCAUAAUAAAGUUUUUUAUUUAUCAUAA